GCUUCAUCCCUGGGAUGCAAGGCUGGUUCAAUAUAUGCAAAUCAUAGUGUUGGAACUUCUGGCCAGGGCAAUUAGGCAGGAGAAGGAAAUAAAGGGUAUUCAAUUAGGGAAAGAGGAAGUCAAAUUGUCCCUGUUUGCAGAUGACAUGAUUGUAUAUCUAGAAAACCCCAUUGUCCCAGCCCAAAAUCCCUUAAGCUGAUAAGCAACUUCAGCAAAGUCUCAGGAUACAAAAUCAAUGUACAAAAAUCACAAGCAUUCUUAUACACCAACAACAGACAAACAGAGAGCCAAAUCAUGAGUGAACUCCCAUUCACAAUUGCUUCAAAGAGAAUAAAAUACCUAGGAAUCCAACUUACAAGGGACGUGAAGGACCUCUUCAAGGAGAACUACAAACCACUGCUCAAUGAAAUAAAAGAGGAUACAAACAAAUGGAAGAACAUUCCAUGCUCAUGGGUAGGAAGAAUCAAUAUCGUGAAAAUGACCAUACUGCCCAAGGUAAUUUACAGAUUCAAUGCCAUCCCCAUCAAGCUACCAGUGACUUUCUUCACAGAAUUGGAAAAACUACUUUAAAGUUCAUAUGGAACCAAAAAAGAGCCCGCACCGCCAAGUCAAUCCUAAGCCAAAAGAACAAAGCUGGAGGCAUCACACUACCUGACUUCAAACUAUACUACAAUGCUACAGUAACCAAAACAGCAUGGUACUGGUACCAAAACAGAGAUAUAGAUCAAUGGAACAGAACGGAGCCCUCAGAAAUAAUGCCGCACAUCUACAACUAUCUGAUCUUUGACAAACCUGAGAAAAACAAGCAAUGGGGAAAGGAUUCCCUAUUUAAUAAAUGGUGCUGGGAAAACUGGCUAGCCAUAUGUAGAAAGCUGAAACUGGAUCCCUUCCUUACACCUUAUACAAAAAUCAAUUCAAGAUGGAUUAAAGACUUAAACGUUAGACCUAAAACCAUAAAAACCCUAGAAGAAAACCUAGGCAUUACCAUUCAGGACAUAGGCAUGGGCAAGGACUUCAUGUCUAA
rnacentral:lncRNA from 1 species